UACGUAGGGUGCGAGCGUUGUCCGGAAUUACUGGGCGUAAAGAGCUCGUAGGUGGUUUGUCGCGUUGUUCGUGAAAACUCACAGCUUAACUGUGGGCGUGCGGGCGAUACGGGCAGACUGGAGUACUGCAGGGGAGACUGGAAUUCCUGGUGUAGCGGUGGAAUGCGCAGAUAUCAGGAAGAACACCCGUGGCUAAGGCGGCUCUCUAGUACGGUACUGACGCUGAGACGCGAAAGCGUGGGGGAGCGAACAGG
rnacentral:rRNA from 1 species